CACCUGGUUGAUCCUGCCAGUAGUCAUAUGCUUGUCUCAAAGAUUAAGCCAUGCAUGUCUAAGUAUAAGCUUUAAACGGCGAAACUGCGAAUGGCUCAUUAAAACAGUUAUAGUUUAUUUGGUGAUCGAUUACUAUUUGGAUAACCGUAGUAAUUCUAGAGCUAAUACAUGCGUCAAGGCCCGACUUCGGAAGGGCUGCGUUUAUUAGAUACAGAACCAACCUAGGCUCCGCCUAGUCCUUGUUGGUGAUUCAUAAUAACCCGGCGAAUCGCACGGCUUGUCCGGCGAUGGACCAUUCAAGUUUCUGACCUAUCAGCUAUGGACGGUAGGGUAUUGGCCUACCGUGGCGUUGACGGGUAACGGGGAAUUAGGGUUCGAUUCCGGAGAGGGAGCCUGAGAAACGGCUACCACAUCUAAGGAAGGCAGCAGGCGCGCAAAUUACCCAAUCCUGAUACAGGGAGGUAGUGACAAGAAAUAACAAUACAGGGCAAUUCUGUCUUGUAAUUGGAAUGAGUAGAUUUUAAAUCUCUUUACGAGUAUCAAUUGGAGGGCAAGUCUGGUGCCAGCAGCCGCGGUAAUUCCAGCUCCAAUAGCGUAUAUUAAAGUUGUUGCGGUUAAAAAGCUCGUAGUUGGAUUUCUGCCUUGGGCGACCGAUCCACCUUUCCUACGGGAUUGGUUGGUAUCAGGUUUGACCUUGGCUUUUUCUUGGGAUUCGUGCUCACGUACUUAACUGUGCGUUGACCGUGUUCCAAGACUUUUACUUUGAGGAAAUUAGAGUGUUUCAAGCAGGCUUAUGCCAUGAAUACAUUAGCAUGGAAUAAUAGGAUAUGACUUCGGUCAUAUUUUGUUGGUUUCUAGGACUGAAGUAAUGAUUAAUAGGGACAGUCGGGGGCAUUCGUAUUUAACUGUCAGAGGUGAAAUUCUUGGAUUGUAAA
rnacentral:ncRNA from 1 species